AGGGGGCAUUUGUGAGCUCAGAGAAUGCAUGAGCUGCAGCAGAGGUUAGCUGCAGAAGAAGCAACAAAAAGUUACAGUUAGCAAGUGUUUUUGGUACCUGUUUUGUAGUUUCAGUUUAUAAAGUAAAAAGUAAAGUGCUGUAGAGAUACUGUACAUUUGUUUCCUCUUUUGCCAAACCUGACUUUUUGAAUGCAGGAUUCUAUAUUUUAAAGCUCAAACUAUUUUCUAAACUGGACUUGGAAGCAGCAGGUAAAUAAGAGCCACACCACAGCUGAGACUAAAACUCUUCUGAAGCAGUUGGACACUGUGUGGAGGUCCCGAGAGACACUUUUUUCACCUGCCAUUUUUCUACUUGUGACAGUAUCUGCACUCAGAUGGGAUAUUGCGAGUGGUUCAUGGGCUGAAGUUGUAAGUAAAGUACUUUUGAACCAUGGGACAACAUAGGCGUACCACGGAACAGAAGGACAACCUCUUCACAAACAGAUGCAAACAACAAAUGCAAACCAACAGAAUGGGAUAAAGCAAGUACAAAAAGGCAAAACUUGACUACAAAACAAGAUGCUAAUCGUCCCCAGGAGCAACCCCAAGAUAUUUGAACUCCUCCACUUGAGUAAAAACCUCCUCUCCAACCCAGAAUGUGUAUUCCUGCUGCUUCUUGCACUGGACAUUAACCCAGCCUCCUCACUCUCAGCUGUGAACUGUAAGAGUAUCCUGAAAGUCAUAGUUUGAACACAUCAAAAGAACCACGACAUCUGCUAAAACACUGACAUUCCCCAUAUUUGACACCCUUCUCUUCAUGACUGAGCCUUGAGA